UGCAAGUCGAACGAAGUUAGGAAGCUUGCUUCUGAUACUUAGUGGCGGACGGGUGAGUAAUGCUUAGGAAUCUGCCUAGUAGUGGGGGAUAACUUGGGGAAACCCAAGCUAAUACCGCAUACGACCUACGGGUGAAAGGGGGCGCAAGCUCUCGCUAUUAGAUGAGCCUAAGUCGGAUUAGCUAGUUGGUGGGGUAAAGGCCUACCAAGGCGACGAUCUGUAGCUGGUCUGAGAGGAUGAUCAGCCACACUGGGACUGAGACACGGCCCAGACUCCUACGGGAGGCAGCAGUGGGGAAUAUUGGACAAUGGGCGAAAGCCUGAUCCAGCCAUGCCGCGUGUGUGAAGAAGGCCUUUUGGUUGUAAAGCACUUUAAGUGGGGAGGAAAAGCUUAUGGUUAAUACCCAUAAGCCCUGACGUUACCCACAGAAUAAGCACCGGCUAACUCUGUGCCAGCAGCCGCGGUAAUACAGAGGGUGCAAGCGUUAAUCGGAAUUACUGGGCGUAAAGCGCGCGUAGGUGGUUAUUUAAGUCAGAUGUGAAAGCCCCGGGCUUAACCUGGGAACUGCAUCUGAUACUGGAUAACUAGAGUAGGUGAGAGGGGAGUAGAAUUCCAGGUGUAGCGGUGAAAUGCGUAGAGAUCUGGAGGAAUACCGAUGGCGAAGGCAGCUCCCUGGCAUCAUACUGACACUGAGGUGCGAAAGCGUGGGUAGCAAACAGGAUUAGAUACCCUGGUAGUCCACGCCGUAAACGAUGUCUACCAGUCGUUGGGUCUUUUAAAGACUUGGUGACGCAGUUAACGCAAUAAGUAGA
rnacentral:rRNA from 1 species